rnacentral:lncRNA from 1 species
ACCCCUAGUCCUCACCUGAGACCCUAAGUCCCUCUGAAGCCAUGUUCCCUGCUCCUUAAUCCCCCAGCUGUGCUCGGGCCGCCUGUGCCCACCAACAGAGGCAGCAUAGGCACUGGUCGUCAGCACACGCCAGCUUGGUGACGCCAUGAGCCACACAGCCGCAGUUAGCCAUGGCUGCAGGCUCCUCCUUCAUAUGUCUUUCCUGACUGCAGGGAUUGGAUUCAAAUCAUGGAAUCGUGGACCCACCACAUGGUCACAGUGCAGCCUCAGCAGCGAGUGAAGCUCGCCAGACCUCCUCCGGAAAGCAGGGCCAGUGAAGGUGUCCAGCACUGGGGCUGCAGGGACUCCCUGGGAAUGUAAGCACCACGGGAGUGGAGCCUUUGUCUUGUUCUCCUACCUAUACCAGCAUGGCACAGAGGAGGUGCUCAAUAUACCAGGUCUUCCUCUAACCUGAGCUCGCCUACAAGUGGCUCAAGCCUGCCCUGGACUCCUCACAGGAAUCACAGCAUUCUGCUGAUGGAGCUCACGGCCCUGACACAGCCCACCAUGGAGACGGUGGCCAGGUGCCACUCCACCCAGGCACCACUUACCUGGGGACGUACAGGUGGAUGUCCAGGCAAACAGGCCACUUGCGGGGUCUCUGGUCCCAAUGCCAAUGGAGAGCCGGUUCUGGGUGAGGAAUCGGGGCUUACAAAGCCGGUUUGGAUUUCCCUGCAGCCCAAGCCCCCAGCCUGAGAGGGAGGCCCUGCCGCUCACACUCUCCGCACACACCCCGGGGGAGGAUGUCACACCCCGCCAGGGUUUCUCACUCAUGGAUGGGGGGGGUUCAUCCUCUGCCAGGUCUCCCAGAGCCCCCUGGGGUGGCCCUGGUGGCAGGACACAGGCAGAAGGCCCGAGGACAGCCGCUUACCUGAAUGCCCCAGCAGCAGCUCUGAGGCCCACGGUGGGCCAGGCCUGCCCGGAAGGCCUGGUGUCUGCUGAGCUCCGGCAAGCAGGCUUGUCUGAAACUAACCUAUUUCCUGGAUGCGAAGACAGGAAAGGGGGCUGUGUUUGAUGUUUACAUCAAAGUCACAAAGUGCUGUGCUCAAGGAAAAUCACAGGCCACGUGCUCCAGGGAGGCAGAGGGCAUUUCCGGGGCCCAGCACUGCCUGCCCAGCUGCAGGAUGGGACUGAGAGAUGGGAAUGAGGCUAAGCAAAGGCAGGGUUUCAGGAAGGACGACUCCAGCAGCAGGAACCGUCAGAAGGGAGGAAGCCUGCAUACCUGGAACCGGAGGGUAGGCAGCAGUGGUGGGAAGGAGGGGAGUCCCAGGGCUCAUGGAAACUGGAAUGCCCCCAUUUUCCCCUCAAAGGGGCGUCGCCCUGGGGCCUGCACCAGCUAGACAACCCAGAGGAGUGAUUUGUUUAUUCCACAGGCAGGUUAGAGCUGGAGGGAGGAGAAACCCACUGAGUCAGCCCAUACCCCGAAGGUGAGAACCCCUUCUGUGCCAGGCAUCUGGAUGGCAAGGACAGCCUGCCCUUGCUCUCCAGUGGCUCGCAGGCUUGUUGGGGGCAGCUGAGUCCACAGGGAGCCAGGGCUGGGAGGCCGGAAGCCUGGGCACUGUGUGUCCCCAGAGUAUCCCCAAGCCAGCCUGGAGGAUGUCAGGGAUGCGUUCCAGGAGGAGUCAGCCACCCAACCGAGACACAGAGCCAGGGCAUCCCCAGUGCUAGCCCGGCCCACCUGGGACCUUUCCCACGAAGCUGAACCUGGCUGAGUGCCAUCCCGCUGUGGCCACCACCUCCUCCUCCUCUUCCUCUCCUCCCUUCCCUCACCCUGUGCACCCCCUACCCUUGGGCCUGGGGCCACACCUCAUGCACUCUCUCAGAGAGGGGCCUGCAGAGCCACUCCCUCGGCUCCAUCUCCCCUCUAGUGCCCCAAGGCCUCUGGGAGCCCCUUGCCCACCACCUCCUUGCUUUCUUGGGCACUAAGGGAGUCGUCACAGCUCUCCUGUCUGUGGGGCCUCAGAGACCUGUGUGGAACUGCCCUGGGCCCACUGUGGAGACUCCUAAAGCUUUUCUUCUUGGGGUCCUGCUGCCCUUGUUAAGUGGGCUUGUGAUACCCUACCUUGUUUUAACCUGAAUUGACUCUCCCUUAGCUAAGAGAGCCAGACAGACUCCAUCUUGGCUCUUUCAUUUGCAGCCCCUUACCCACCCCGCUUCCUCAAGGACUUAAUUUGUGCAAGCUGACUCCCAGCACAUCCAAGAAUGCAAUUAACUGAUAAGAUACUGUGGCAAGCUAUAUCCGCAGUUCCCAGGAAUUCGCCCGGUUAAUAGCACCCAGAGCCCCGGCGUUUGUGUCCGGUUGAUAACGCCCAAAGCCCCGUGUCUAUCACCUUGUGAUAGAUUUUAAGCCCCUGCACCUGGAACUGUUUGCUUUCCCGUAACCAUUUAUCCUUUUAACUUUUUGCCUGCUUUACUUCUGUAAGAUUGUUUUAGACCCCCACCUGUCCUUUCUAAACCAAAGUAUAAAAGAAAAUCAAGCCCCUUCUUUGGGGCUGAGAGAAUUUUGAGCACUAGCUGUCUCUCAGUCGCCAGCUAAUAAAGGACCCCUGAAUUCGUCUC